GACGAACGCUGGCGGCGUGCUUAACACAUGCAAGUCGAACGGAAAGGCCUCUUUCGGGGGGUACUCGAGUGGCGAACGGGUGAGUAACACGUGAGUAACCUGCCCUUGACUUUGGGAUAACUUCAGGAAACUGGGGCUAAUACCGGAUAGGAGCUCCUGCUGCAUGGUGGGGGUUGGAAAGUUUCGGCGGUUGGGGAUGGACUCGCGGCUUAUCAGCUUGUUGGUGGGGUAGUGGCUUACCAAGGCUUUGACGGGUAGCCGGCCUGAGAGGGUGACCGGCCACAUUGGGACUGAGAUACGGCCCAGACGCCUACGGGAGGCAGCAGUGGGGAAUAUUGCACAAUGGGUGGAAGCCGGAUGCAGCAACGCCGGGUGCGGGAGGACGGCCUUCGGGUUGUAAACCGCUUUCGCUCAUGACGAAGCUUUGUGUGACGGUAGUGGGUAAAGAAGCACCGGCUAACUACGUG
rnacentral:rRNA from 1 species